UCCGUUAUCGUCCAGCGGUUAGGAUAUCAGGCUUUCACCCAGGAGACCCGGGUUCGAUUCCCGGUAACGGAA
rnacentral:tRNA from 1 species